AGGGUGAGGUUUGGGCUGUUUUGCUACUGACAGUGUUGCGCUACAGAACUGUACAGCUUGUGUUCAUUUAGUAAGAGAAAUCACAGGCCAAAAACAUAUUUUUAAAUGUAAGUCGCUUGUUUGGCAAAGACAAGCACACAAAAAUUAGGAAAUGGCAGAAGUAAGAUCACCCAGGUGAUGUUAAUUUAUCUCCUUCACCGCUUGGGCAAGAUCAGGAUCAGUGCUUUCCUCUGGGCCUGCGCCUUGCCCCAGGGCGAGCUGGCUGGGUGAUGAGCUGUGACUGCUGCACCUGAACAACUUAAACAUUAAAAAAAGAAAGGAAAAAAGGCAUUAAAUAAAACAAAAACUUCCCAAAGAAUAAGGAGUCCUGUUUCCUGAUAAACAACAAAACCACUUACUCCUAACCAACUCCAGCCUCUUACGAGCUCCUGGCACCCUGCAGCAAGCAGCUCCUUCCUCUUACAUCCAUUUUCACCCAGCCCACUGCCCUGGGACAGGCCCUUUCACACAGGGAAGGAUGAAGGAUGCUUUCUCCCAGCCCUCAGAGGGAUUUAAAGUUCUUUCUGCUUGUGCUUGGAAGUCCUCAAAGGAAUCUCGGGGAAAGCAAGAGGAAGCCUAUGUCAACCCUCAAAGCUUGACAGAAGCAAACACGACAGAGCAUGCAUUGAUUUCUUAGAGAAACAAAGAAGAAAUUAGGCUGUUCACAGAAAAUCUCCCUCUUUGCUCUGCAGCAACACUUGGGCUGAGCAAGUUCUCCCCACCCUUUUGCGGGCCCUUCAGCUACACAUGCACGGCUUCACCUGCGGCAGCUCCCAGGACAGGCUGGCUCAGCUCCUCAGAGCAGAGGACAGCAGUUCCUUCAGACAGGCACGUGGUGAAUUUUUGGAAGACUUUCCAUGUUUCAAGCAGUGAGACUGUGAGUUUCUAACGAGGCUGGGAGAAGCACAAGGACUCUACGCUGCAGCAGGGAGGAGGGCUCAUGUCGGGGUUUGGAGCCAAGUGGUCGCAUGGUCCCCAUUUGGGAAGAGUUCAUCCAGAAGCUGUUGGUGGGUCUGCUCCAAAGCCCAGCGAAGGUGAAGAACAGGUCCCUUGCUGAGGAGACCAUCGUGGAGCUCACUGUGGAGCUCCUGCCACUCAAGAAAUCUCCUUCUAGCAGGGAGUCGUGCUGCAUCCCAAAGCAACUAAGUGUACAUGCGCUUAACAAACUCAAGUUCAGCUCCUUUCACCGACCAAAAUAAAUUGUUUCCAUGCCUGCCCAGAUUGUAAAUUAGUAGAACAAACAGUCAUUUAAAAUGAAUGCUUUCAAGUCAGAGGAAUACAAAUCAGAGACUGUAUUUCUUCUCACUGGAGGAACACUGUUGCACCAGAAAUAUUACUUAGAUUUUCAAUCUUCUGUAGACCAGACAAAGGAUCUUCAUUAUCAGGCAAUCAACAGACAAUAAAACCAGCUCUGACUCCACAUCUGACAUGGCCUGGCUUUAACAGAUCAUUCCCUUUGGUGCCUUUACACGUACUGAAUGUUGCCAGCUGCCAGGGCUCACAUCUUUAUUUGGCUUGUGCGGAGCUGGACACGGAAAGGCUUUACCUCAGAAUUCACCAGUUCUCAUAGCUGCAGCUCCAUCUUUUCUGCCAUCCUCACCAGCAUCACCUUCCUCCUGAUGCUGCACGGAUGGCGUUAGUGGGUGAGCCUGGGUCAUGGCUGUGCUGAGGAGGUGUGGGUCCAGGCAGGACAGCCGUGCGGACCGCGUUACAAAAGGUUAGCCUCAGACUGGUUCAGAUGUGUGAUGAACCCGUUCUUCAAAAGUGAGCUGCUAAUUUGAUACAGACUGCUGGAAGCACGGGCACCAAAGUCCAGUUGUGUGAAAUAUAACACAGCCUGAGCUGCAAACGCUUCAGGCCUGAUUCGGGCUGCUGCAAAGUCACCAGGACUCUCUCACUGCCUCCAGUGGGGUUUUGAUGCGAUCCUUACUGAAUAAACAAUCAGGAAGUAAACAUGUAUAGAAUCUGAUUACCUGGUCUCCAGCCUCUUGAUGAACUCUCUGCUGCAUCAUGUAAAUACAACUUUGGCAUGUCAAAUUCCAGCAAAAUACAGCAGCCUUUCUGUCACCCUGCUGUGCACCUCUGGCCAAGCUCAUCUGUGACUUCUGGUCAUACGUCAGAAGGGUCUGCUACACAAGUGGCAAGGCUGUGAUCUGCAUCUGUCCUUUCUGUCCUAAAUAAUCAGUGGUGAGAUCUUCUUUACAUGAACUUUAAACAGUUGCAAGUGCCCGCACCGGGUGGCAAAUCUGCCCCCCAAGCCACAGCCUUUCUGUGACCCACCAUGGCUCCAGGAUUGCCAAGAUGCUGCCCCGAGAUGAUCCAAAAGCUCUCUCUUAUUUUAACAACACAGCUGUUUGUUAUUCUGUCCGGGAGCAGUAAAGCUAUCAAUCGUCCAGAAGGAGACCAUUUUAAAGCACACUAAACAGCAAAUAAUUCUCUGGCCGGGAUAUUAAAAUAUCACAAACCACAAAUUUCCCUGUGUUAUUGCCUUGUAGCUGACAUCUGUCUGUGUUAGCACCAGGGGACCACGAACUGAGGAGCAGCUUGAUCUAUAGACUGAGGAGGUGACGUGCUCAUCCUAAGACUAGGGUAAAAGGCACUGCACAGGAGAGCCUUGUGCAGACUGUUCCCAGGCGUUGCAUUGCUUUGGCAGCCCCUUCCUCUCCAAUACAUUGUCUUAUAAUCGCUGCUGUGUUUGAAUGGCGUGUCUGUGGGGUGGGUACUGUUGGACAUGUCAGGUAGAGGCUUGGCCAGCACAGACCUCUUUGUGAAGGAGAGGGUAUCUGCAUCAACUGCUGCCUCAUGUUUGGCACCAUUUGCUCUUUCGGACCUGGGAAUUAUUGCCUUAAUGACAUGCAUGCACUACGUCUGUGCCCUCAGCUACUCAAAAACAGUUUUUAGGGGGCUGACCAAGUCAGGGUCUAAGUUAACUUCAGAGGCUC